rnacentral:rRNA from 1 species
GAUGAACGCUGGCGGCGUGCCUAAUACAUGCAAGUCGAGCGAACGGACGAGAAGCUUGCUUCUCUGAUGUUAGCGGCGGACGGGUGAGUAACACGUGGAUAACCUACCUAUAAGACUGGGAUAACUUCGGGAAACCGGAGCUAAUACCGGAUAAUAUUUUGAACCGCAUGGUUCAAAAGUGAAAGACGGUCUUGCUGUCACUUAUAGAUGGAUCCGCGCUGCAUUAGCUAGUUGGUAAGGUAACGGCUUACCAAGGCAACGAUGCAUAGCCGACCUGAGAGGGUGAUCGGCCACACUGGAACUGAGACACGGUCAAGACUCCUACGGGAGGCAGCAGUAGGGAAUCUUCCGCAAUGGGCGAAAGCCUGACGGAGAAACGCCGCGUGAGUGAUGAGGGUCUUCGGAUCGUAAAACUCUGUUAUUAGGGAAGAACAUAUGUGUAAGUAACUGUGCACAUCUUGACGGUACCUAAUCAGAAAGCCACGGCUAACUACGUG